rnacentral:tRNA from 1 species
CAAAAAAUAGUUUACGUAAAACAAUAGAUUUGGAUUCUAUAAAAAAUUACUAUUUUUUUUGA